UGCAGAAUAACUAUCAAUUUUCCCCUCAAAUUCAAAAGCCUUUUGUCUCUCUGGAAGACCAAGCAGCUGGUGGUAAUAUAUUUGAUAUUCCUGUUCCAUCCGUCUUUGAUACAAUGGCACUUCCUACUAGUUUCAAAUCUUCUGUGCCCUUUCAUGGUUUUGAAUUUCGGUCCUCUGAGGCAUGUCCAAAGAAUUUCAUCAUCUUUGAUCAGACUGAUUACCGGAGCCAGAUCAUGUACCACCCUGCCAUGACCUCCAAAUUCCCAUAUCCUGAUCUGAAUUAUAAUUCAACUUGCUUCCACGACUGCAUGGAGAGAAAAAUUGCAAACAAUGAGAAUACAGAAGUUUCUUCAUAUCUGAAGGAAGAUUCAGAUGAUAUAAAUGCAUUGCUCAGCUUGGAAGAGGAAGAAUGUGAGGAAUAUGAUGAAGAAGAGGUGAGCACUGCACGCACUGAUGCAAACUAUGGAUGCAGUUCCCCUGAAUCAUACUCAAACUAUCAUUGUCAAUCCAAAAAGAGCAGGACCUCUUCUUUCAGGGAAUCCUCUGGUAGCAGUACUAGCAAUUGCAGUGAGAGAAAACGCAGGAAACUUAAGAAGAUGGUCAAGGCAUUAAAGGGAAUCGUCCCUGGUGCCAGCAGGAUGAAUACUGUCACCGUUCUUGAUGAAGCUGUCAGAUACCUCAAGUCACUUAAGGUGGAAGUGCAGAAGCUUGGAGUCGAUAAUCUGAAGACAUAUGCCUGAUAUCCUUUGUGGUAUAGGUAAUUUCGCUUCCUUUAUCACCGUCACAUGAUUAUGAACCCUAGUCAUAUCUUUUGCUUAUGUGAAGAAGAACUACUUAUACCGUCGUAUUGCUGAGUUGCUGCUCUGGAGGGGGUAACGUAACGUAGAAUAUGGUCCUUUGUCCAGCGAUAGGACAAUAAGUCUGCUGUAGUAGCUAGCUGCUAUAUCUAAUUUCUCAUUCUAGCAUAUAGUAUGUUUCCACUAGUUGCAAACUCUAUUAAGGCAUUUGAAUAAUUUCUCCAAUAUGUGACACUCUUUCACCUAUUGGAGCUGCUAUUUGUUAUUGUUGUUGUAUGACUUUGAUGAUUUGUUUUAAUGGAUAAUGGGUUGAUGAUUACACUUUAUGCAAGCGUGUUAUGGUCGAAUCUUGAGUGUCUUUUAUUUCAAUUUUAAUCUUUGCAUGCUGUGAUCUUUAGUUACUUUUUUUGUCUGUUGGGAAUCAUGAGACAUUGGGAUUAUAUGUGAUCCUCUCUGCUGCUCCACUUGGCUAGUGCUGUUACUGUAAAGUACACCACUUUAUUAGUCUAUAAAUUUGGAUGAUAUGAUUAUGCCCUCAGAAUUUUAUCUUUUCAAAAAUUUAUUUUACAAAGUUUCUGACCUAAAUACUUUCUUAAUAUUCUAAAAUAGUUGUCCACCUUUACUUCAAGAUUUAAUUUACCAUUUUGCAUGUAUUUUACGAUUGUUAUUAAAUGUUAUGAUUCAUUCCCUAAUAUUUAGAUGUUUUAUAAUUAAGAGUGGUGAUAUAGCAUAAACAUAAAUAAGUUAAAAAUUGUUUUACCACGACUUUCAGUCCCUUUCUUCGUCAUGAAGAGCAUGAACUCAAUAAUACUAUACUAAAUUUAAUAUUAUAAGUUUCUUUUGGAUGUCCGACUCGUUUAAACUAUUCUUUAAUUUAAUUUAGUUAAGUUAGUUCAAGGGAUUAACUUAGGAUAAAGUUUUUUUAAACAGAAAACAAUGAUUUAUUGAGCUAGUGAGAGUUAAUUUAAAUAAUACUUAGUAACUUCACUAAAGGAAAAGAUUAUACUUUUACUGUAAUGUAAUAAAGUAAUUUCGAAACAAACUUUAUUAUCAAAAUACUUUAAUUUUUUAUGGUAUGGAUAGUCCAAAAGCCAGGUGGGAUCCACAGUAAAUACACCUGUUACAUAAGCACUGAUGCAAGCAAAUUAAAGGAUAAAAUGGUUAGACAAACUCAAAAAUAAUUCAGAGGAGCAACAAACUUCUUUCAUUAACUAAUGGAGUUUGGAUCAAUUCAUUCUAAUUACAAAGAUAACCUGAUUGGCCCAAUUAAGUUGCAAGAAACAUCCAUAUUUGAGAUGUGUGCUUAUUAUUUUUCAUUAAUUUCCGACAUCGAAACGGAUAUUUUUUAAAUCCUAAACAUUAAAAGAAGCAUUCUCUAAAAACACACAUCAAAACAAAUAUAACUAUCAUGCAUGAUCACCUUUUAACUCCAAAUCCAUCCAAAAUAAUAUCACACUAACUUAAAAGUUUAAAGUAGUUCGCCCAAAAAUAAACGGACUAAGAUUCUUUAUAUUAAUUCCUCACGUGAAUCUAUAUCUCUUUUUUCAACAAUAAAUAUGGGUUAUUCACCCACAUUCUCUCAUUAAUUCUACUUUUUUUUAUACUUAUUCUAUGUCUCAACAAUCCGGAAAGCCUGUAUAUUCAAUUGAACCAAAUGUUUAUAAAUACAAAAGAGCCAAUUUUCCAAUAUGUUUCCAAGUCUCUUCUACAAGAUGAAAUACAAGAUAUGCUCUUGCCUCCCAAAGACUUUGUCUUCCUUGCAUUGCUUUCCUUACUGUUUUGUGGGCCUUUUUGUUUGAUUGUCUUGCUUGUUGUUUCUUGUGUGUUUGGUUGACCGUUGGACUAAGUUUUGAAGAGCUGUGCAAAUCUUCAUAUACUGUCCCACGAGGUGAAAAUUUACCCCGUGACAAGAGUAUUGUAAAAUAAAAAUAUUAAGAAUUCCAAAAAAUAUCCAGUAUUACAUAACAAAUUAUAUUUGACAAAAAAGAGGGAAAUGAAGAUAGAUAGUUUAAUAAAAUUAAGAUGAUUGUACAAGUAUCACAUGUGUAAUACAUCUUUUUAUCAGUACAUUCUUUAAAAAUGCAUUUUAAGAAUAUCAUAUUUUUUUUUACUUUGUAAUUUAACUUUCUUUGAAUAAGAAAACAAGAAUCAAUCGGUACGAAUUAGAUUAAUUAACUACUCAAGUUGCUCUAUUUUUGCUUACAUGUGGAGUAAAUCUAUACAAAUCAAAUGCACAAUGUAUUCUAGAAACUAUGAUAAGUUACAGGGUGAGUAACAAAUUAUAUAUAUCUAUACACUAUAUGAAUAUAUCUAUAAAUUAUUCUCAUAUCUUAAAUGACGUGUAAAAAUUGUACUACUUUUUUUUAGUAUUGACUUGAUAUAUUUUUUUAAAAAGUAAUACAUAAAAUAAUAUUUUAAUAUAUUAUAUAUGUUUAUUAUUAGUUGAGAAACUAAUUGAAAUAAAAGAACACCUGAGUGACCACAAUUAUUUGCCUCAAAUAUGGCCCCAGAUAUAAAAUAGAUCAUAAUUAUAGUUUCUCCGUCCGAAAUUAUUUGUCAUAUUAUACUUAUCAAAAGUUAAUUUGACUAAUUUUUAAAGGUAAAUUGGAUCACGUUAAUUCGAUAUUUUAAAUAAAAAAAAAUAGGUGUUCUAAAACUUUUAAAAAAAAGUACUAUAAAUUAUAAUUUUUUGCAUAUUAAUAUGAUGAAAAAAUACAUCUUAAAAUGUUUCAAAUAUAAAAUAGAUCAUAAUUAUACUCCUUCCGUCCGGAAUUGUUUGUCAUGUUGCGCUUAUCGAAAGUUAAUUUGACUAAUUUUCAAAAAUAAAUUGGAUCACAUUAAUUCGAUAUUUUAAACAAAAAAAUUAGAUAUUCUAAAACUAUAUAAAAAGUACUAUAAAUUAUAAUUUUUUGCAUAUUAAUAUGAUGAAAAAAUACAUCUUAAAAUGUUCCAAAUAUAAAAUAGAUCAUAAUUAUACUCCCUCUGUCCGGAAUUGUUUGUCAUGUUGCGCUUAUCGAAAGUCAAUUUGAUAAAUUUUCAAAGGUAAAUUGGAUCAAAUUAAUUCGAUAUUUUAAACAAAAAAAAAAUAGAUAUUCUAAAACUAUAUAAAAAGUACUAUAAAUCUAAACUAUAUAAAAAGUACUAUAAAUUAUAGUCCCUCCGUCCAGAAAUAUUUGUCAUGUUGUGCUUACCGAAAGUCAAUUUGACUAAUUUUCAAAGGUAAAUUGGAUCAGAUUAAUUCGAUAUUUUAAACAAAAAAAAUAGAUAUUCUAAAACUAUAUAAAAAGUAUUAUAAAUUAUACUCCCUCCGUCCAGAAAUAUUUGUCUUGUUCUGCUUACUGAAAGUCAAUUUGACUAAUUUUCAAAGGUAAAUUGGAUCACAUUAAUUCGAUAUUUAAAAAAAAAAAUUAGAUAUUCUAAAAGUACUAUAAAUUACAACUUUUUUAUAUUAAUAUGAUGAAAAAUGCAUUUUAAAAUGUUAGUCAAAGUUUUUAUAGUUUGACUCUAAAAAUAGAAACCAUGACAAACAAUACCGAACGGAUGGAGUAAUUUUUUGCAUAUUAAUAUGAUGAAAAAAUACAUCUUUAAAUGUUUCAAAUAUAAAAUAGAUCAUAAUUAUACUUCCUCCGUUCGGAAUUGUUUGUCAUGUUGCGCUUAUCGAAAGUCAAUUUGACUAAUUUUUAAAGGUAAAUUGGAUCACAUUAAUUCGAUAUUUUAAAUAAAAAAAAAAUAGAUAUACUAAAACUAUAUAAAAAGUACUAUAAAUUAUAAUUUUUUGCAUAUUAAUAUGAUGAAUAAAUACAUCUUAAAAUGUUCCAAAUAUAAAAUAGAUCAUAAUUAUAAUCCCUUCGAUCGGAAUUGUUUGUCAUGUUGCGCUUAUCGAAAGUUAAUUUGACUAAUUUUCAAAGGUAAAUUGGAUCACAUUAAUUUGAUAUUUUAAAUAAAAAAAUUAGAUAUUUUAAAACUAUAUAAAAUGUACUAUAAAUUAUAAUUUUUUUGCAUAUUAAUAUGAUGAAAAUAUACAUCUUAAAAUGUUAGUCAAAAUUUUUAUAAUUUGACUGUAAAAAUAGAAACCAAUGACAAACAAUAUCGGAGGGAGAGAGUAACAUUUUCUUUUCAAAGCAAAGUCUUUGUUAGUAUUUGAGUUGAUUUAUUUUUAGUUUUUUUAAAAUGAUCUGAAAAGUGUAAAAAGUUAAAGAGUUAAAAAAUGAGCGUUUUCUUUUAAAAAGAGUUAAUUCAAACAUCGAUAAGUUGACAAAUAGACUCUUUGGAUUCCACCUAUCGAAGCAUUUUACGGCCUCGUACCUUCUUCACUCCUUUAUUCUUCUUCUUCAAUUUUUUCUAGUUUAAGAGCACGAUGUCAUGACCUGCCAUAUCAAUUAUCAUCAUGUCAUUUAGGCGUUACGUGGGAUAAAGUUAUCUAUGUGAAAGCUUAAAUAGAAAAAAAAAAAAAAACUAGUUAAUUAGUGUAAGCUUCCUCCACAUUUCUUGAUUUACGAGAUUUAAUCUAAGAUUAUUUGUCUAAAACAAAAAGACUUCAAUUAAGAUUUCAAAUAUUUGAGAUUAUUUCAAUAGGUUUAACAUAAAACUCCAACUCUGAACCUAUUGUUUUAUAUUAUUUGGCUCUCAUUGAUGCGAAUUAGGAGUGGAAGUCUAUAAAUUGUGAUUUCAAUAUUUUCGAAUGUCGAUACUUAAUAUUUUUACCAAAGGUAGCAAAAAAAAAAAGAAGAAAGAAAUUGCUUUUAAUUUUUAAAAUUAGAGAAGCAAAAUGAAAUAUUUAAUCUCUUUAAUUUUUAAAAUUGGACGAGUAAAACGAAAUAUUUAAUUUUAUAAAACACGGCUUAUAAUUUGCCCAUAUAUAAAACCUGUUCAAUUUGCACAUGUCGAUUUCUAAUUAAUGUAAUUGUUUAAGGAUAAUUAAGAUGGGUGUUGUUACCUUAUUAUAACUCAUUUGAAUGUUAGGUCAGCUUAGAUUACAAAAUUAAAGGACAAAUGAAUGAUUUUUAAUGUAUCGUAUAUUUUUAUUAUGUAUUUGGAAUAAAUUAUUUCUUAAUAGAUCAAUUGCAUAGCAAAGAACAAACUACGAGGAAAAAGAAUCGUGAUGGAAAAGAUUGAUUUAAACAUGUUUACAUUUAACUUUAUUUGAUUCAUUUGUCAAUCCUUUAUUCUAUUUAAAUUUGUCUAUUCAAUCUAUUCAUUUGAUGCUCUAAAAUUUUUGAUACAGUAGAAAAUUUAAAAUUGAUUGAAGUUAUUCUAUCUAGUUGGCUGUGUUUUUAUGACUUAUAUAACAUGAGAUAAAAACCUAGCUUUAAUUAUUGUGCUGACUUUCAGAACAAGUUGUAAUUUAAAAGUUCUCACUGAGGAACUAUUUAUUUGCACACUUUUGAGUUUUGCUGGCAUUUAUUUUUUAUGUAUAUAUAUUUCGAAUUAGAAUUUUAUGUAUAAAUAUUUAUUCAAGCAUGUUAGUCAAGUUGCCGACUUAAAGUAACAAAUUUGGGUCGCUAUUUGUCACCAUUUGAUCAAAAUGUUGAAAGUUUAGACGACUAAAUAUAUUAUUAUUUCAUAUAUAUUUUUAAGGUUUAAGGAAACUUUUUGUUACUAUUUUUUGUACACCAAGCAAACAUGUGUGCCAACUGAGAAUCGUUAUUUGAUUUUGUAAUCGUUUAUAAAUACUUUUCUCACGUUAUAUUAAUACCAAAAAUAUGUAAAAACAGCACAAGAUUCAUAAGGGCAUAGUAAUUUUUUUUUUUUUUAAAAAAAUCUAACUGUAAGUGGGAAUGAAUAAUAAUAUCAUAACGAUUCUCGUCAUUUAUGGCAUAAUACUUUUUCAUAACAGGAACAUGUCGAAGGAAUUCAUAGAACUAAAGCACCAUAUAAAUAAUAUCCAUUAGAAUAGAGUGAGACCACCACUUCUGUUGGUUUCCUAUCAUUAGUCCGGUACCUGUGUGCCUGAUUAAUUCAGAUUUGCACUGAAAAGUCUUUCUUUAAUAGCGAGCUUAGUUAAUUUACAUUCACACGAAUGCGAUUUCAUUUUUCAUUGCUCAAAACUCAAAAAAUCUGAUUAAAAAUAAUGGAUUACCACCUUUGGUGGUAUGUAGUCUGCCAACUCAUCUUCUGGGAAUAGAUAACUCAUACUAUAAAUAAAAUAAUAAUUUAUCAUUUUGAUAUUGGACUCUCCUGCCCAACUUGCAAGUAUUUUUAUUUUAGAAAGUUGGCUCGUGACUAUCCCUUGGACCCUUUUCAAUGCGCGUUCGGUACACAAACUUGUCAUUCUUACUUGUUACAUUAUCAUCUUUCAUUCUUUUCAAUUUAUUUUUUUAUUCAUCUUUUUUGGUUUGAUUAUUAGAGUAAUGAUUCUCUUCAUUCAUGACUUUUAAGUACCUUCCCACUAAUACACUUGCACGAAAAAAAGAAGUGACUAUUGAAAGUAUUUGAAACGUGCACCCAAAGAGAGUGGUCGAGAGCCUUUUAGGUUUGAGUUCAAAUCUCAGCAAGACGAAAAAAAAAACACUAGGUAAUCUUUUCAUCUGUUCUAACCUUGGUGGACAUAGUUACGUGGUACCUAUUGCUGGUGGGAGGUAGGAGGUAUCAUGUGGAAUUAGUCAAGGUGCGUGAAAGUUGGCAUAGACAUCACCAUCAUAAGAAAAAUAAGUAUUUGAAACCUAUACAAAACCAUUAGUUACAGCCUAUUGGCACUUUAUCAAGUACAUGGUUCAUCUAACAAUUUAAGUUGUCUCAAAGUGAAGUUACCCCUUCCAUCACAAUUCUCUCUUUAUUCAGAAACCACUUCCCCUUUCAAGAAAAGAGCAAACUGAACUUAACUUCUAGGAUACUUGUGUGAUCUGUCCAUGUGCUACUUCUAGAACAGAAGGGAAAAAAACAGUUGGCUCAAUGUAAUGUGAAUGCACAAUUUGAGUUUACGAUCUAUUAGGUGGUCAGAAAGCUUUGACAUUUUUUAUGUACUCCUAGGUUUCGAGUAGGUGACGAAGUUCGUGUUGUCUUUUCUUGUGUGGGGGUACAUGCAACUUGUUUUUUAACACGGGGCAUCCUAGAUUAGAGGCAUGCUUGGUAUUUUGUAACAAAUUCAUAGAAUGCAAGUCAUUUUCCGUAAGUGUGAACGGAUGACUAGUUGACUGCUACUGAAAGCAGUGAUUCACUGAAAUAUUUGCUAUGAAAUGUGUAUAAAGGCUUCAUUGUCAGCAUAAGUUUUUUCAGUGAGUGAAGUUUUCUUUCUUUUGAAAUGAUGAUGUUAAAGACAGUUGUAUAUGCAUUAGCCAUAUUUUCUAUUACCUUUCUCAUACCUUUGUCAUCUGGGCAAAAUCCAAGAUUUGAAGUUGAAGUUGCUGCUUUGAAAGCUUUCAAGAGCUCAAUCUCUGACGACCCUUUCAGUGCACUUGUGGAUUGGACUGAUGUAAAUCACCAUUGCAACUGGUCUGGAAUCAUAUGUGAUCCUUCUUCAAAUCAUGUCAUCAACAUUUCACUUAUUGAGACACAGCUCAAAGGAGAAAUUUCUCCGUUUCUAGGAAACCUCUCCAAACUCCAGGUUCUUGAUCUAACUUUGAAUUCAUUUACUGGAAAUAUUCCACCCCAGCUGGGUCAUUGCACGGACCUGGUUGAGCUCGUUUUUUACCAAAACUCUCUUUUUGGUGAAAUUCCUGCCGAGCUGGGAAACCUAAAAAAACUGCAGUUAAUAGAUUUUGGAAAUAACUUUCUAAAUGGGAGUAUACCUGAUAGUAUAUGCAACUGCACUGAAUUGUUGUUAGUAGGCUUCAACAACAACAAUUUCACAGGCAAAUUACCAUCUGAAAUUGGUAAUUUGGCUAAUCUUCAGUUGUUUGUAGCUUAUACAAACAAUUUGGUUGGUUUUAUGCCUACCUCCAUUGGAAUGCUGACAGCUUUGCAUACCCUUGAUCUGAGCGAAAACCAGUUAUCUGGACCUAUACCACCAGAAAUUGGCAACUUGUCAAGUUUAGGAAUUCUUCAGUUACAUCUCAACUCUCUUUCUGGGAAAAUCCCAUCUGAACUUGGCCUCUGUAUCAAUCUUUUUACCUUGAACAUGUAUACUAAUCAAUUUACUGGAAGCAUACCUCCUGAGCUUGGAAAUUUAGAAAACUUGCAAAUGCUCAGAUUGUAUAACAAUAAGUUGAACUCCAGUAUACCUGCCUCAAUAUUCCACCUGAAGUCAUUAACUCAUUUAGGACUCUCACAGAAUGAGCUAACUGGGAAUAUUCCUCCCCAGUUGGGAUCUUUAACGUCACUAGAAGUGCUUACCCUUCACUCCAAUAAGUUAUCCGGGGAGAUCCCAUCAACUAUAACAAACCUGGCAAACUUGACAUAUUUGUCUUUGGGUUUUAAUUUAUUGACUGGAUCACUUCCAUCGGAAUUUGGGUUACUCUAUAAUCUGAAGAAUCUAACUGCAAAUAAUAACCUCCUGGAAGGAUCUAUUCCAUUGAGCAUAAUAAAUUGUUCUCAUCUUCUAGUUUUAUCCCUCACUUUUAAUAGAAUAACGGGGGAAAUACCAAAUGGGUUGGGGCAGUUAUCCAAUCUUACAUUUUUGUCUUUGGGAUCAAACAAAAUGAUGGGGGAGAUUCCUGAUGAUCUCUUCAACAGUUCAAUGCUUGAAGUUCUAGAUCUGAGUGAUAACAAUUUCAGCGGAAAACUCAAACCAAUGAUUGGCAGACUCGCUAAACUUCGAGUUUUAAGAGCCCAUAGUAAUUCAUUUCUUGGGCCAAUCCCACCAGAGAUUGGUAAACUGAGUCAACUGCUGGAUUUAGCACUUCACAAAAACAGUUUCUCAGGUGCCAUUCCACCAGAAAUUUCAAUGCUUUCAAACCUUCAGGGUCUUUUGCUAUCUGACAACAAGCUAGAAGGUGAACUUCCUGUGCAACUUUUUGAGCUCAAACAGCUCAAUGAACUCCGGCUGAAGAACAAUAAUUUCUUUGGUCCAAUACCGCAUCAUAUAUCCAAACUAGAAUCACUGUCGCUCAUGGAUCUGAGUGGAAAUAAGCUUAAUGGCACAAUCCCAGAGAGCAUGACGAGCCUCCGCAGAUUGAUGACAGUAGAUCUUUCACACAACCUUCUUACCGGAACUCUUCCUAGAGCAGUACUUGCCAGCAUGAGAAGUAUGCAACUUUACUUGAACGUUUCCAGCAACUUGUUGCACGGAGAGAUCCCAGAUGAGAUAGGCGUGUUAGAAAUGGUUCAAGAGAUUGACAUGUCAAAUAAUAAUCUGUCAGGCAGCAUUCCCAGAUCCCUAGAACGCUGCAAAAACUUAUUUUCACUGGACCUAUCAGGAAAUAUGCUCUCUGGUCCUGCUCCAGGUGAAAUUCUCACCAAAUUAAGUGAGCUUGUGUUCUUGAACCUCUCAAGGAACAGAUUAGAAGGCAGUCUUCCUGAAAUAGCAGGAUUAUCACAUCUUAGCUCUCUUGAUGUUUCACAAAACAAGUUCAAGGGAAUUAUCCCCGAGAGAUUUGCCAAUAUGACUGCAUUGAAAUAUCUCAACCUUUCUUUCAACCAACUUGAAGGUCACAUUCCAAAGGGGGGUGUAUUCAACAAUAUAAGGUUGGAGGAUUUACUGGGAAAUCCAUCUCUAUGUGGAAAAAAGUUUCUCAGUCCAUGCCACAUAAAAAGAAACCGAACAAGUUCUCAUGGUUUUUCCAAGAAAACCUGGAUCAUACUUGCAGCACUUGGAUCUGUUUUCAGUCUCAUUCUUCUUGUCCUGGGAAUAUUUUUAUUUCAUCGGUACAUGAAGAAGAAAAAAGUGAAUGACACGGAGUUUACAAAUCCAAAGUGUACCGCAGCACUGAGCCUCCAGAGAUUUUAUCAAAAGGAUUUGGAACAUGCUACCAAUAAUUUCCGUCCGGAAAACAUUAUUGGAGCCAGCAGUUUAAGUACUGUGUACAAAGGAACACUGGAAGAUGGGAAGAUUGUAGCAGUUAAGAAGCUGAAUCACCAGUUCUCAGCAGAAUCUGGUAAAUGUUUUGAUAGGGAAGUCAAGACUCUGAGCCAACUCAGACACAGGAACCUAGUUAAGGUGCUAGGUUACGCUUGGGAAAGCAAGAAGCUAAGGGCUUUAGUUUUAGAAUACAUGGAGAAUGGGAACUUGGACAACAUGAUUUAUGGUCAAGUAGAGGAUGACUGGACGUUGUCCAACAGGAUUGAUAUUUUAGUUUCAGUUGCAAGUGGACUAUCAUACCUGCAUUCAGGCUAUGAUUUUCCAAUAGUGCACUGUGACAUGAAGCCUUCAAACAUUCUUCUGGACAAAAAUAUGGAAGCACAUGUGAGUGACUUUGGGACGGCUAGGAUGUUGGGUAUUCAUCUCCAGGAUGGGAGCAGCACAUCAUCAGCAUCCGCAUUUGAAGGAACUAUUGGUUACAUGGCGCCAGGUAAUAAUUCUUACAACUUCUUGACCCACACUUUACUUGCUAGAUUAUGUGUUACAAUAACAUGAAUACUAGAUAUCUAUAAUGUAAACGAGCUUAUAUGGGUACCACAAAUAAUAUUUUGUCAAUGGUAAAUGCUUCAAAUACAUUCAAUUUUAGCAUCAUUCAAUAGUAACAUCACUUCUGUCAAUCACAAGACGCAGCACAGCAGAUUUUUUUUCCCUUUCAAUCACAAAAUGCUGAUUUAACUUGUAUAUGGAAGAAUCGACAAGCAAGUAAAUGAUGCAAUGUUUUGGACAUAUAAUCUGUAAAGUACUUUUUAAAAUGAUAAUGUCAGCUUUAAUCUAUCCAAAAAUGCCAGCGCCAUGUUUGAAAAUUUGAAUUUCUUGGACAUUUUACAUGCUCCUAAUUUCAUUUGAGACCUCACUUACAUGAAAUGUUAUCUGUGAACAGAGCUUGCAUAUAUGAGGAAAGUGACCACAAAAGUAGAUGUAUUCAGCUUUGGUGUAAUUGUGAUGGAGAUCAUUACAAAAAGAAGGCCAACAAGUCUUACAGGAGCAGAUGAAUUACCAAUUACUUUGCAUCAAAUUGUUCAGAAUGCCCUUGCGAAUGGCAUAAACAAGCUAGUUCAGAUUGUGGAUCCUAAUCUAGCUUCAUAUGUCUCCAAGAAACAGGAUGUAGUAGAGGGACUUCUUAACUUGGCUUUGUCCUGCACCUCUCCUGAUCCUGAAGAUAGACCUGACAUGGAACAAGUUCUGUCUUCUCUUUCAAAGCUAAGUAAGAUGGACUGUAUGCCUUCUCAUUUGGUAAAAGAUUAAAUUUGAUGUAGAAGAAGCUGGAAUAUCAUCACUCUUAAUGUGAACCACCACCAAGUUUCCCAUGGUGGCUAAUGGAACUAGUUCAUAACUUAAAAUGCAUUUACUAUUUAAAUAAUUUUUCCGUAUUUCAAGCCAUAAAUGAUGAUCGCUCGAGUAUUCCUGCUUUAAGAUAUAAUGAUACUGUCCCGUCAGAUUAUGUUGAAGUUGACAUGCAUCAUGAAAUUGAACAACAUAUUCAACAAUACUUCAUAUUAAUCACAACUAAGGAGCAAAAAGCUAGAUCUUUACGAAGUCCUCUAGUGACAUGUAAUAGAACUAGUGAGCAAGCAGUUGAUUGCAAACCAAAGUGCUAAUGUAGUCUGUCACUAAAGAUUAACUACAGCAAAUGAGUACACUUAUGAACAACACAAAUAUACAGAAGUGAAACUGAGGAAAACUCAAUAAAGGCUUUAAUAAGCCUACAGUCAUCCAUCAUAUUUUACCUUGAAAUUUAUUUACAAGAGAGGGAAGACGCGAUCUCAUCUAUUGGUGGAUCAUUUUGCAAGAACUCAACAAUGGUAGAGGGGAACUCAAAGCUUCCAAUACCUUCAGAAACCUCUGAAUGAAUAAGAGCAGCUUUGCCUAAAAGCAGAUGAGCUAACCUAAAUGAUUCUCUUCUCUCUCCAUUACUCCUAUCCAGAAAAUGCUCAAUCCAACCUUCUAAUCUCUCCACUUCUUUUUCACUUUUUGGCCCUUUAACCCCAACAAUCUUUCCAUAAAAUGCAUCAUCACAACCCAAAUCCACUUCCACACUUUUCGAUCCUCCCCUUUUACUGUCCGAUAAACCCAAUAACUGCAUCAACAGUUCAAUGUCAUCAACCCCAUUACCACUAGUUUCAACUAUACCAACUCUUUCUUGAACUUGCGUAGGGUUUAUCUGAGGUGGGGUUUCUUGGGCAAGAGGGGAAUUAGAGAGAAAUCGAAGUGGGGUUUCACUUUCUUUGAGGUUUGUGUAGCUGGUGAUGGAGUCAACAUGGUUCUCACUCUCAUCACAGUUAAGGUAUAAUGGGCUGAUCAACGACUGGGUCGGUGUGUCGACGGCUUCUUGUUGUGUUGGUUCGUCAAGUUUCAAUCUUUUCUCCAAUUGUUUGAGAGAAGAGAAGAAAUUUGAGUGUGGAGAAGGUCUUUGCAUUUUUGGGAGAAAAAUCAGAAUCAAUUGGGGGUUUAGGGUUUUAGCUGUUGCCUGUGAGUGAAGGACAGAUUAUUUAAGAAAAAAAAGAGCGCCAAUUGGUGAGAUAAAACAGUUGAAUAUUUAGGGUCUAAUAUUAGAGUUGAUAAUUUUCCUCAUUAUUUAUUUUAUUAUAUCCAAGAAAUUAGUUUCCUCACAUUGAAAAAUUAUGAGUAUAAACAAAUAUAUACUAGUUAAUUACUUAACAUAGUUAUAAUUAGCUUUAAUUACAAUUCGCGUUCUAUUUUUAGAUAUAUUACGCGGUUCAGCUUUUUUGUUUUGUAUACCAUUUUUUAUGUUUGUAAUUGUAUCAAUUCGUUAUUUUUGAGUUUUACACAAGUGUAUCUGUAAAUUAUACAAAUCAACGAAUUAUACAAACGAGACAAUUUAAAUAUAACUAUAAGCCAUAAAUAUACAAAUUAUAACUAUAAAACAUAAUUAUAUUUAUUAUAGUGACUAUUUAAUCUCUCGAUUUAUUUUUUGAGAACAAUAAAGGAUUGAAUAAUAUGUGUUAGUUGUUUUUUGUGAACAUGGAUAGUCCAAGUAGCCAAACUGUUGGGCCUAUGGUACGAAACUAAAGGGACAAUUAAUCAAAAUGGCCAUUUGGUGAUAAUUCUCUCUUCCAGUAUCUUCGAAGUUCAAAUUUUUAAAAAAUUAAUAUGCCGCAAAUGUGAAACACUUUGAAUAAAUAGUAUAUCAAAAGACUCAAAAGAUUGAAACAAAUUUAUAUCUAAAAUUUGAGAUUGUUUAGAGGGAGGUUUGAAUCGGUUGAAAUUGAGAAAAAAAAAUGGUCUGCAAUAUAUAUCAACAAUGUAUAUAGUCAUAUAUAUGUAUACAUAUCUCUUAUAAAUAGUUAUAUAUCAUUUAUACACGGGUAUAUCCAUUUAUAAAAUAUCGAUACCUACAUAUACUGCUAAUUUCAGGUUAUUAGUUAAUGUAAAGGCAUAAUGCCCAAGUACCCCUCAACCUAUGCCCGAAAUCUCAGAGACACACUUAUACUAUACUAAGGUCCUAUUACCCCAUGAACUUAUUUUAUUAAUAAUUUUUUACCCCUUUUAGCCUAUGUGGCACUAUCUUGUGGGCCCAAUGAUGGUUGACUUUUUUUUUAAAAACUAGUGCCACGUAAGCUAAAAAGGGGUAAAAAAUUACUUAUAAAAUAAGUUCAGGAGGUAAUAGGACCUUAGUAUAGUAUAAAUGUGUCUCUGGGAUUUCGGACAUAGGUUGAGGGGUACUUUGUGCAUUUUCCCUAAUGUAAAUGAAAACUUGCUAUAUUUGAAACUACUUUUCAUUUUACCCAUAAUUAAAAAUAUGAAAAAAGAAAAGAAUUCGUAGGAUUUAUUAGAUCCGCUUGCACCUAUCUUGAUUUAUCACUCAUUUCGAUCUAAGUAAUCUCUGGACGAAAUAUAUCAUAAUUCUUUCAUCCUCUUUUUAACCUUCUAAUAACUCAUCCUGUUCAUUUGAAGCUGCUAAUAAUUUUAUUCCAAUUUAAAAUUGCCUAAAGUUGUUCCUCUCACUAUGCUUAUUUAAUUUCUUUGGGUAAAUAGCAAUUUAAUCCUUAGGUUAUUGCAUUAUUCUAAAUUUUAGUCCUUAUAUUAUUCAUUUGAGCACAAUCAACUUUUGAUUAGUUAAAACAGUUUUUUAAAUUAACAAAAGCUAAAAAGUUAAGUAAAUUAUUUUUUUUAAAAAUUGAAGGUUCAAAUACCAUAUUUUUAAUUAACUAAAGAUUGAAUAUGCUCAGUAGUAUAACACAGGAUUAAAAUCGAUAUUCAAACCUACUCAAGCUAAUGAUAUCUAUUAGUAGCAAUAUUGAUGGAGAUUUGGCGACUCAUAACAUGAGACUAUAAUUGGCGUGUGGACUACAAAUCAAGUUAUGAUUAGUCAAGUUUAUUUAUUUUUUCAAAUAAAACCUACUUAUUUGUAUACUUUUUGCCACAUUCAUCUCAUAGAGGUCAGAUAAAAAUUGUGUGUACAUAAUUUAUUCAAACAUGUUGACAACUAAAAAAUUGAUUAAUUUAGGUGGCUGUUGUCUCUCUUUGACCUAAUGUUCAAAGUAUACACGAGUGAAUGACCAAGGAUUAAAUAUAUUUAAACAUUUAUUACUAGUUCCUAUAGAAGGUUUAGGUAGGUUAAGUGUUAAUCACCUAUGAUUUCAUUUUGAAUAAUAGUUUCAGGAUUAGGACUUUAUAAUAUUCAAUCUAUUAGGAAAAAAAUCGAAUCUAAGAUUUCUAUUUUAAAGAAAGGGAGGGAUAAAUACAUAUAUAAAGUGAUAAUUGAUCCUUGGGCGAUUUACUCAGCAUAUACUAUUUAGCCUUAUUGGAGACCGAGUGUGAACAGAUAGUAUUAGAUCAAUCUAGAAAAUAUGUACCUAUAAACGACUAGUUUGAUGAAAAGAACAUAGGUUCACGUGCACCAUAAACUACACUAUAAAUUCACCUCUGAUUAGGAAACGAACACCGCUGAAUGUCAUCUUUCAGCUUGUCUAACUCUCCUGCUUCUCUAGAAGCUAGAAAAGAAACAACUGGAAUGAAUUUGUACAAUAUUUCUACUCCAAAUGGCAGUUCUAGAAAAAAAAACAGUUGACUUGAUGUAAUGUGAAUGCACUCAAUUUUCUAUUAACAGGACUAGUUUUUGUAGGAAUUUUGACAACUUCAUAGAAUACAAGAUUUUACUUUAGUUUUGAUGAUUAGUUGACUUCUUCAACAGAAAACAGUGAGCAAAUAUCAUUAAAAAAUGUAUAAACUAUUCAUUUUCAGCUUAAGUUUGUAAAGAGAGUGAAACUUCUUUCUUUUGAACCAAUGAUGUCAAAGACAAAUGUAUAUGCAUUAGCCAUUUCUUUUAGUACCUUUUUCAUAGCUUUGUCCUUUGGGCAAACUCCAAGUUUGGAAGUAGAAGUUGCUGCUUUGAAUGCCUUUAAGAAUUCAGUCACUGAUGACCCUUUUGGUGCACUUGUGGAUUGGACUGAUGCAAAUCACAUUUGCAACUGGUCAGGAAUCAUAUGUGAUCCUUCUUCAAACCAUGUCAUCAACAUCUCGCUUGUUGGGAUGCAUCUCAAAGGCGAGAUUUCUCCGUUUCUAGGGAACCUCUCCAAACUCCAGGUUCUUGAUCUAACUUUGAAUUCAUUUACUGGAAAUGUCCCAGCCAAGCUGGGGCAUUGCACUGAGCUGGUUCAGCUCAUUCUUUACCGAAACUUUCUUUCUGGUGAAAUUCCAGCCGAGCUAGGAAACCUCAAAAAUCUGCAAUUAUUAGAUUUUGGAAAUAACUCACUGAGUGGGAGAAUACCUGAGAGUAUAUGCAACUGCACUGAAUUGUUGUUCGUAAGCCUCAUCAACAACAGCCUCACAGGCAAAUUACCGUCUGAAAUUGGUAAUUUGGCCAAUCUUCAAUUGUUAGAAGCUUAUAGAAACAAUUUGGUUGGUUCUAUUCCUACCUCCAUUGGAAUGCUGACAGCACUGCAAACCCUUGAUCUGAGCUCAAACCAGUUUUCUGGACCUAUACCACCAGAAAUUGGCAACUUGUCAAGUUUAGAAAUUCUUCAGUUGCAUCACAACUUUCUUUCUGGGAAAAUCCCAUCUGAACUUGGCCUCUGUAUCAAUCUUGUUACCUUGGACAUGUAUAAUAACCAAUUCACUGGAGGCGUACCUCCUGAGCUUGGGAAUUUAGAAAACCUGCACAGGCUCAGAUUGUAUAACAAUAAGUUGAACUCCAGUAUACCUGCCUCAUUGUUCCAUUUGAAGUCAUUAACUCAUUUAGGACUCUCACAUAAUGAGCAAACUGGUAAAAUUCCUCCUGAGUUUGGAUCUUUAAUGUCACUACAAGUGCUUACCCUCCACUCAAAUAGGUUGUAUGGGGAGAUUCCAUCAACUUUGACAAACCUGGCAAACUUGACAUAUUUGUCUUUGAGCUUUAAUUUAUUCACAGGAUCACUUCCACCGGAACUUGGGUUACUCUAUAAUCUGAAGAAUCUAACUGCAAGUGAUAACCUCCUAGAGGGACCUAUUCCAUCUAGCAUAACAAAUUGUUCUCAUCUUCGUGUUUUAACCCUCACUUUUAAUAGAAUAACAGGUAAAAUACCAAAUGGGUUGGGGAAGUUGUCCAAUCUUACAUUUUUGUCUUUGGGAUCAAACAAAAUGUGGGGGGAGAUUCCUGAUGAUCUCUUCAACUGUUCAAUGCUUGAAGUUCUAGAUCUGAGUGGUAAUAAUUUUAGUGGGAAGCUCAAACCGAUGAUUGGCGGACUCUCUAAACUUCGAGUUCUAAGAGCCCAUAGUAAUUCAUUUCUUGGGCCAAUCCCACCAGAGAUUGGUAAAUUGAGUCAACUGAUAGAUUUAGUGCUUCACAAAAACAGUUUCUCAGGUGUGAUAUCUCCAGAAGUUUCAAAGCUUUCAAACCUCCAGGGCCUUUCUUUGUCAGACAAUAAGCUGGAAGGUGAACUUCCUGUGCAACUUUUUGAGCUUACACGCCUCUAUGAACUCCUGCUGCAGAACAAUAAUUUCUUCGGUCCAAUACCCAAUCAGAUAUCCAAACUAGAAUUGCUUUCGCUUUUGGACCUGAGUGGAAAUAAGCUGAACGGUACAAUCCCAGAGAGCAUGGAGAGCCUCCACAGACUGAUGACCUUAGACAUUUCACACAACCUUCUAACCGGAACUUUUCCCAGAGUAGUACUAGCCAGCAUGAGAAGCAUGCAGUUUUACUUGAACUUUUCCAGUAACUUGUUGGAUGGAGAGGUCCCAUUUGAGAUUGGCAUGUUAGAAAUGGUUCAAGGGAUUGAUAUGUCAAACAACAAUCUAUCAGGCAACAUUCCCAGAUCCCUAGGACGCUGCAAAAACUUAUUCUCACUGGACCUGUCAGGAAACAUGCUGUCUGGUCCUGCUCCAGGCGAAAUUCUGACCAAGUUAAGUGAGCUAGUAUUCUUGAACCUCUCAAGGAACAGAUUAGAAGGCAAACUUCCUGAAAUGGUAGGAUUGCUACAUCUUCGCUCACUUGAUCUUUCACAAAACAAGUUCAAGGGAAUCAUUCCUGAGAGAUUUGCCAAUAUGCCUGCAUUAAUAUAUCUCAACCUUUCUUUUAACCAGCUUGAAGGUCACAUUCCAAAGGGGGGUGUAUUCGACAACUUAAGGUCAGCAGAUUUACAGGGAAAUCCAUCGCUAUGUGGAACGGAGUUUCUCAGUCCAUGCAGCAUCAAAAGAAACCAAACAAGUUCUCAUGGGUUGUCCAAGAAAACCUGGAUCAUACUUGGGCCUGUUUUGGUUCUCAUUCUUCAUGUGGUGGGAAUAUUUGUGUGUCAUCUGUACAUGAAGAAGCAAAAAGUGAAAGACUCGGAGGAUAUAAUUCCAAAUUAUACCUCAGCACUUAGCCUCCAGAGAUUUUAUCAAAAGGAUUUGGAACAUGCUACUGAUAAUUUCAGUCCACAAAACAUUAUUGGAGCCAGCAGUUCAAGUAAUGUGUACAAAGGAACACUGGAAGGUGGGAAAAUUGUAGCAGUUAAGAAACUGAAUCUUCAGUUCUCAGCAGAAAUUCGUAAAUGCUUUGAUAGGGAAGUCAAGACUCUGAGCCAACUCAAACACAGGAACCUGGUUAAGGUGCUCGGUUAUGCUUGGGAAAGCAAGAAGCUAAUGGCUGUAAUUUUAGAAUACAUGGAGAAUGGGAACUUGGACAGUUUUAUUUAUGGUCAAAUGGCGGAUGACUGGACAUUGUCCAAUAGGAUUGACAUUUUAGUUUCAGUAGCAAGUGGGCUAUCAUACCUGCAUUCAGGAUAUGAUUUUCCAAUAGUGCACUGUGACUUGAAGCCUUCAAAUAUUCUUCUGGAUAAAAAUAUGGAAGCACAUGUGAGUGACUUUGGGACAGCUAGGAUGUUGGGCAUUCAUCACCAAGACGGGAGCAGCAUAUCAUCAGCAUCUGCAUUUGAAGGAACUAUUGGUUACAUGGCGCCAGGUAAUAAUUAUUACAACAUCACUUCUGUAAAUCAUAAUACACAGCUUAGCAGAUUUUCUUUCCCUGUCAAAUCACAAAAUAAUGAUUAACUUGUAUGUGGAAGAAUGGACAAGCAUGUAAGUGAUCCAAUGUUUUGAACAUAUAAUCUGAAAAUGUAUUUUCUUAAUGAUAAUACAACCUUUAGUCUAACCAGAAAAUGCUAGUGCCAGCUUUAGAAUGUUGAAUUAUUUGGACAUUUUACACGCUCCUUAUUUAAUUUGAGACCUAACUUAAACGAAAUGUUUCUCUUUGAAACAGAGUUUGCAUAUAUGAGGAGAGUGACCACAAAAGUAGAUGUAUUCAGCUUUGGUGUAAUCGUGAUGGAGAUCAUUACAAAAAGAAGGCCAACAAGUCUAACAGGUGCAGAUGAAUUACCAAUGACUUUGAACCAAAUUGUUCAGAAUGCCCUUGCAAAUGGCAUAAACAAUCUGGUCCAGAUUGUGGAUCCGAAUUUAGCUUCACAUGUCUCCGAGAACCAAGAGGUAGUAGAGGGACUUCUUAACUUGGCUUUAUACUGCACCUAUCCGGAUCCCGAUGAUAGACCUGACAUGGAACAAGUUUUGUCUUCUCUUUCAAAGCUAAGUAAGAUGGUGAUCAUGCAUUCACAAGCUUGUUUGGUAAAAUAUUAAAUUUUUGAUGUAGAAGCUGGAGUAUCAUCAUUCUUAAUAUGAACCACCACCAAGUUUCCCUCGGUGGCCAAUGGAACUAGUCCAAAACUCAAAAUGUAAUUACGAUUUAAAUAGAAUUUAUGUUUUUCAAGCCAUAAAUGAUCUAUCAAGUAUUUCUGCUUUACUAGAGGGAUAUAAUUGAACUCUCACAUUAGAUUAAAUUAAAGUUGACUUGCAUCAUGAAAUUUGAACAACAUAUUGAUGACUACUUCACAUUAAUUACAACUAAGGAUCAAAAAGCUCGAUCUUUACGAAGUACUCCAGUUAUGACAUGUAAUAGAAUCAGCGAGCGGUUAAUUGCUAGACCAAAGUGCAAAUGCAUUCUGUCACUAAAGAUUGUCCACAGGAUAGCAGGAAAUCAGUUAUACUUUUGAAUAUAUACAAGUGAAAUUGAGAGAAAACUCAAAAAGACGCCUUAAUAAGACUACAGUGAUCCAUCGCAUUCUAAAAAUUUAUUUAGUAGAGAGGGGAAAAGCAACCUCAUCUAUUGGUGGAUCAUUAUGCAAGAACUCAUCAAUGGCAGAGGGAAACUCAAAGCUUCCAACACCUUCACAAACCUCUCCAUUUCUUUUUCACUUUUUGGACCCUGAACCCCAACAAUGUUUCCAUAAAAUGCAUCAUCACAGCCAAAAUCCACUUCCACCCUUUUGGGUCCUUCCCUUUCACUCUCCGAAAACCCAAUAGCUGCAUCAUCAGUUCAAUCUCAUCAACCCCAUUACCACCAGCUUCAACUAUACCAACACUUUCUUGGGCAAGUGAGGAAUUUGAGAGAAAUUGAAGUGGGCCUUCACUUUUUUUGAGGUUUGUGGAUCUGGUGAUGGAGUCAGCAGGGGUCUCAUCACAGUUGAGGUAUAAUCGGCUGAUCAAAGACUGGGUUGGUGUCUCGACAGCUUCACGUUUAGAUGAAUCAUCAAGUUUCAAUCUUUUCUCCAAUUGUUUGAGAGAUGAGAAGAAAUUGGAAUGUGGAGAAGGUCUUUGAAUUAUUUUUUUGGUGAAUCAGAAUUUGAAUUGGGUUUUAGGGUUUUAGUUGUUGAAGGUUGAAGAAAUGGAAAGGAAAAAGAGCGCCAACUGCUGCAAAGGACAAUUUAAUCACUUCUGUUUGAAAUUUUAGGCCGAUUUGGGAUUUUUUGGUAUGUUAUUUUAAGGUAUUUUCUGAAUAAAGAGCUUUGAUAUCCAGGGUUAGAUCCAGAGUUUCAGGUACGAGUUUACGAGAACCAAAUAACUUUUGCUUAUGUACUGUAUAUGUCUUAAAAAUCUUAUUGUGAAUAGAAUUUACUCUAGGAUGAUCUAGCAAUACAAUUGACUUCCCUUGUGUACAUUUAUAGCUUGGAUCAUAUAGUUGCUAAUAAUAGUUUCCGAAAAAUGGAACAGGGAGAAAACAUAGCUGCUGAAGUUUUGUGGAAAGUGUGUUCAUUUGUUUGAGUAAAACCAGUGCAGUACAAAUGCUGAUAAGAGUAUGUAAAAUAUAUUCAGAAAGGAGAAAAAAGGCAUGUGUGACUUAACCACAUGGGUAUAACAUUGACGGUAUAGACAAAAUGAUUUCUUAGAUGAUCACUCAACUAAUAUAAUAACCAUUAUCUCAUAAAGUCACUGUAUUCUUGAUUUUAAUUUUCAUUUUAACAAAGAUAAUAACUAUGAGUUGAGUGACUCUCUGAAGAAAACCAAAUUGCAGCAGAAUUAUCUGUUCUUCAACUGGUGGAUCACAAUUUGAUAGCAUUAGUGCAUUAUGCUCUGAAAAAUCUAGCCCAAAUUUAGAUUUCCCUAUCAGGAGUUGGCUUGUAUGGUGGUGGAUUUUUGAAACAUUUACUUGGCCAGAAUAUAUUGUAUAAAGCACUGUUAUAGUUCACAUGUUUCUGUGUGCCUUGGCGUAGGACCACUUGUAUGAGUGGUUGAGAAUGUGUCUGCUACUAAGAAAAACAUAAAUUAGUAAUGGACAAAUUUCGUAGGUAAACAACAAGUAAGCAAUUUAACAAUCAAGUUGGUAACUAAUUUCAAUUUUUUUUUUAUAGAGCCAUGAAAAAUGAACUAACAUAAUGGUUCAUUUGUUUCCCCUUAUUCUUUUCUAUUUUAGACUAAGAAGGGAUUCAGGCUGUAAUGACCUCAAAAUGCCUGUAAUAGUGGUGUUGUCUUUUACCCUACUGGAUGAAAGAUAUAUAAAGAAUGUCAUAAUGGAAAAAAGUAGAAGAUAUUUUAAUGUAAGCUCAACAACAAAGACAGAGCAAUCUUUGUAGCCACACAAUAUUGGUUGGUCCCCAAAGUAAAAAUCUUGGAAGAUUGAUGGAUUUGUGAUAUGCCAAGUGUGAAUGGAGAGUAAUCUUGACAUCCAAUGAGAUCAUAGAUAUAGAUAUCACUAGAUAAGGACUCUUCCCUAUCUUACUUACUAUAUAUAGUGAAGUUUCAAUAACUUCAGCUCAUCACAACUAACUUUUACAUAUCAAACUAGCAACUCCCUCAUUUUCCUCUCUUUAAAAACCAUGGCAGCUGCUACAAUGGCUCUUUCUUCUCCUUCUUUUGCCGGACAGGCAGUGAAACUCUCACCCUCUGCCUCAGAAAUCUCUGGAAAUGGAAGGAUCACCAUGAGAAAGGCUGUUGCCAAGUCUGCCCCAUCUAGCAGUCCAUGGUAUGGCCCUGACCGUGUUAAGUACUUGGGCCCAUUCUCUGGUGAGUCCCCAAGCUACUUGACUGGUGAAUUCCCUGGUGACUACGGCUGGGAUACCGCUGGACUCUCAGCAGACCCUGAAACCUUUGCCAAGAACCGUGAACUCGAGGUGAUCCACUGCAGAUGGGCUAUGCUUGGUGCUCUUGGAUGUGUCUUCCCUGAGCUAUUGGCCCGUAACGGUGUCAAGUUCGGUGAGGCUGUGUGGUUCAAGGCCGGAUCCCAGAUCUUCAGCGAGGGAGGACUUGACUACUUGGGCAACCCAAGCUUGGUCCAUGCACAGAGCAUCUUAGCCAUCUGGGCUUGCCAAGUUGUCUUGAUGGGAGCCGUUGAAGGUUACCGUAUUGCUGGUGGACCUCUUGGUGAGGUUGUCGACCCACUCUACCCCGGUGGCAGCUUCGACCCAUUAGGCCUUGCUGAAGACCCCGAGGCAUUUGCUGAGCUCAAGGUAAAGGAGAUUAAGAACGGCAGACUUGCUAUGUUCUCUAUGUUCGGAUUCUUUGUUCAGGCCAUUGUUACCGGAAAGGGUCCAUUGGAGAACCUUGCUGACCACCUUGCAGACCCCGUUAACAACAACGCUUGGGCUUUCGCCACAAACUUUGUCCCCGGAAAAUGAAUAUCAUAAUAUAUUUUUUGAAUUUUGAUUGUUUGAUGGCCCUGUAAAGUAGUUGUGACUUAAUAGAAUGGAUUUUUUUUUCAAAAUUCCUAUGAUUGUGUAGUUCUGAGUUACAUUUUCCAAAGCUAUGAAUCAAAUAUUGCCACUUUCAUACCAAAGGGGAAAUUAAAGAAAGAGAACAGAACAAAAAAGAGUGAAGAUACAUAUGAGAUGUGGUAACAAGAAAAACUUUAAAGCUGUUGUAAGCUUAAAACUUGAAUUUUUAAACCUGAGGAACUUAUGGAAUUCGAUUAAUUCUCGAGAAACAAUACUCAGAAUUAGUGUAAAGUACUAAUGUUGAAAAACAUGAUGUAUUACAUGAUUCCGCAUUGUUUCAUUUCACUACCAGAGCAUUGAAAUUUCAAAGACAAGGGAAGGAAACCAGUAUGUUUUGUAGUCUGAAUGUAUUAAGUAAUAUAUAAGUUUCCAGGUCCAUACAGUAUGUGUCCUUUACACAAAUUCAUAAGUUUCUUGUACAAUCCUCCUUCCUCAUGUGGUACUAUCUUUAGAUUAAAAGCAUCAUUGACAGAUCCUUCAAAACAAGGUACAUAAUAAUGACCAGAGCCAACGGACAUACAUAUGUAGUUAGAAGAAGACACAAGUUUAUGCAAAAUAUGACACUUUUUGACAACAAAUUCAAGUUCUACGCACUAAUAACAUAAACAAUAUUUACACAAUCAAAUUUCUAAGUAAGUAAUUAAAGGCAAAUCACUUGAUAACAUUAAUCUGUAGUCUGGUAAAAAAUGUGAAUUGACCUACUAUCACAUGUUAAAGUUUACUAAUGUAAUUUCUUUUUCCCUUAACACAGCCAAAAUUGUGAUGCUGAUGAAUUCCAACAAAUUAAAAUCUUUGCUCAUAUUCUUCGGAACAAGCUCUUUCCAAGUCUCAGCAUUGCUCAUGUAGUAUUGUGAAUGAGCAUAAUACAAUAUAACCUGUUUGGCUAACAUAAACAACUUUGCUAAUUAGGGUUUAAUAUAAUAAAGUUUCAAUCACAUUGCUUUCUGAACAUAAAGAUGCAUUAUUAAGUUCCCAAAAUAUAUGAAUCAAGUAGUAAUUAGUUUCAACUUCUCCUCAAAUUUCCUAAACCAUAACUCUACAUUGAAUGAUAGUAUAGUGGUGGUAUAUUUUACCCUGCAGGAGAAAAUAUCUACAAAAAUGGCAAGUGGAUAAUGAUAGGGAUAUCAUAUUGUAAGCUCAACAAAUCACAGGGCAGAUUCCAAUCCUUGUGGCAACAUAUGAGAGGACAAUAUUGGAUGUAUCCCUUGUUCGGAAAAUUGAUGGAUUGGAGAUUGCUAAAUGUGCAUACUUGCUACAAGUAGGAUCUCGAUAGCCAAUGAGAUCAUAGAUAUAGAUAUCACGAGAUAAGGACUCUUCCCCUCUUUCUUAAUCCCUAUAUAUGGUGAAUUAAUUCCCUUGUAACUUCAUCUCAUCACAGCCUUCAACAAUAUUUAAUACCAUAAAAUACUCAACACUUUUCUCUUAAUAUAAAUCAUGGCAGCUGCUACAAUGGCUCUUUCUUCCCCUUCAUUUGCUGGACAGGCAGUCAAACUCUCACCAUCUGCCUCAGAAAUUUCUGGAAAUGGAAGAAUCACUAUGAGAAAGGCUGUCGCCAAGUCUGCCCCAUCUAGCAGCCCAUGGUAUGGCCCUGACCGUGUUAAGUACUUGGGACCAUUCUCUGGUGAGUCACCAAGCUACUUGACUGGCGAAUUCCCUGGUGACUAUGGAUGGGAUACCGCUGGACUUUCAGCUGACCCCGAGACCUUUGCCAAGAACCGUGAACUUGAGGUGAUCCACUGCAGAUGGGCUAUGCUUGGUGCUCUUGGAUGUGUCUUCCCUGAGCUCUUGGCCCGUAAUGGUGUCAAAUUUGGUGAAGCUGUGUGGUUCAAGGCCGGUUCCCAGAUUUUCAGCGAGGGUGGACUUGACUACUUGGGCAACCCAAGCUUGGUCCAUGCACAAAGCAUCUUGGCCAUCUGGGCUUGUCAAGUUGUACUGAUGGGAGCUGUUGAGGGUUACCGUAUUGCUGGUGGACCUCUUGGUGAGGUUGUCGACCCACUCUACCCAGGUGGCAGCUUCGACCCAUUAGGCCUUGCUGAAGACCCGGAGGCAUUUGCUGAGCUCAAGGUAAAGGAGAUUAAGAACGGCAGACUUGCUAUGUUCUCUAUGUUUGGAUUCUUUGUUCAAGCCAUUGUUACCGGAAAGGGUCCAUUGGAGAAUCUUGCUGACCACCUUGCAGAUCCAGUUAACAACAAUGCAUGGGCCUUUGCCACAAACUUUGUUCCCGGCAAAUGAAUAUCAUAAAAUGUUCUCUAGAUAUUAUUGUUUGAUGGCUUUGUAAAGUUUUAGUUGUGAGUUUACUUGACAAUAGAAUGAUUUUUUCUUAGUCCUGAAUUUCAUUUGAUGAAUGAAAUACUGCAAAAUUCAUAUUGAAGGGGAAAAUUGAUGACGAAGCAAAAUUAACAAGACCAGAGUUAAAUUUGAGGUGUGGUAAAAGCUUAAACCUGAAUAUACAGACCAGAGGAACUUAUGGAAUUCAAUUAAUUCUCAAGAAGCAAUACUCCAACUUAGACAUUGAACGACAUGCUGUUUAUUUACUUCCAUGAUUCUUUAUUUUUCUGUCAAGAAGUGAAAGAGAAAUUAAGGGAAAACCAAUGGACAGUAUGUUUUAUAAUCUGAACGUAGCGAGUAAUAUAUGAGUUUCCGGGUCAUUACACUUAUGUGUCCACAUCCAUGAAGUUCUUGUAUUUUCCUCCUUCCUUACAUGGCACAUCAUAGCAAUGACCAGAGCCAAAGGGACAUAAUAAGCAGAAGAUACAAGUUAAAUAUACAUGCAUGGCACUUAUUAGAGAGGAAAUCAAGUUCUCGCUGACAUUGUGAAAAAUGCUUAUACAAUCAUAUCAUUAUUAACAGGGCAGAGGUAGACUUCAGCGAUGAAUGGAAUGUCCCACAUCGAUGAAUGAAUGACCUCUUUAUAAGUGUUGAACAAUUCUCUACCCUUUGAGAUAACUUUUGAGGUUCAGUUAGUCACAAGAUUCAUUUCCACCCGGUUUGACAAAACCAAGUAGCUGGUCCAACGUCAACACAUGCAUAUGUGUUAAGAAAUUUAUUAAAUAUGUGGAACUACUAAAUUUAGAAUCGAUUAGAAUUUAAGGUCGCCUUUUAGAUUUCAGAACCCAUGAAGUUCAAAUCUUGAUCCGUGUUUGCUUAUUAGGUACUAGUCUUAGGGAACGUGCGCUGCACGUUUGUCCUUUAUUGUUAAAUUUCUAUAUACUAAAAUAUUGAGUUAUAAAAAAGGAAAUUUUGAAAUUAGCAAUAGUAGUUUUACUAUUUAUAUUUUGUUCACUAAAUAAUUAAAAAAAAAUAUUAUGAAUACUUAAGCAUUUUUGUUAUUCUUCAUUUGAAGUUUCUCUUUCUCUUUUCUUCUCAUACUAGUUUCUGAGGACGUGCUUCGCACGUAUGUUUCAUGUAAAUUUUUAUAGAUAUGUUAGAAUGACUAAAGUUUCAUGAAAAUAUAUAUGUAAAUUGUAGAGAAUAAUAAAAUGUAACAAAUACAAAAUAAGAAAGACUUACGCAAUAAAACAUUCAUAAAAAACUAAAUUAAAAAGUUUAAUGAAAAAAAAAAAAGACAAAAAGAAACAGAUCUAAGGAAAAAUAUAAUGUAUACAUUAUUCUUAUAAGACUGAUGUAUGCAUAGAUGAAAAAAUAAGUACAUAACUCUCUGAGUUCUUAUCAACUCCUUCCAUAUCCUAUCAAAAUUCUAGAGGCUUCUUCAUCUACUUUAACUAUAGAAUAAACAUGUAGCCUAAUAAUCUUGGUAGGAGUUUCAUGAGAUAAAGAAGUUGAAUUUAUAUAGAUAGAAUAGAAGGAAUAUCAAAAGAAAUCUUAAAGUUUUAGUUUAAAUAUUUAGAUGUUAUGAAUAUGAAAAGAUGGGAGUUAUGAAUAUUAAGAGUAUAAAAGUUGAAUAAGUAAUUAACAAAUAAUAAUAAAUAAAUGAAGAAUAUGAAAAAGAAAAUUAAAAUUAGCAAACCAUGUAGAAAGAACAACUAAAGUUCUUAUCACGUAAUAAGCGUUAAUGAAUUUAAAUUUGUGAAGAUAGAGUCGUUCUUUAAUAAUAGUCAAGAGGACAGUAUCAAUGUGUGUCUCCAUUUUGCAGAUUUGCAAUCUUUAAAUUAUUAAAUUUCGUUAUUUAUCAUUAAGGAUAACACUUUAUCCAUAUAAAUUAUAUUAUUCAUGUUAAGGAAAAAAUUAUGAGAAGAGGAAAAAUAUAGCAAUUUAGAUAGAGAUCAUUUUAAAAAAAAAUUAGAAUUAUUAUAUAUAUAGAUUAUAAAUCAUAAAUAUUAAUUAAUUAGAUAUUUAAUUAGAAAUUAAUCUUAAGAAGUCUAAAAGUCAUUAACAUUUUAAUUAAAUUUAUACAAUCAAAUAUUUAAAUAGUUUAUAACAAUUUAAUUUAUAGAAGGGGUAAAAUCGUAAUUCAACUUUUAACUUUUUUUGUUCAUGCUUUUAGUAAUAUAUGAUUGAAUUAUGCACAUAACAUAAAUCUUUAUAAAUUGAUUCUUAAAGCAUAUUGAAAUUUUAAUUCUGAAAGUGUUCUUAGAAUAAUGGAGAGAAUCUUCAUAUUCAACUUUCAUUUUUACAAAAUUAUGAUUAUGAGUAAUAAUUAAUAUUUAAUAAUCACGCGAAAGAAUAACUUAACUAUUUAUGGGUCCAACCAAUAAUCUGGAAAUUGAGUUUGCAAUUUUUCAGUCAUAAUUAAAAUUUUACAUCAACAAUAAUAGCUUCUCAUCACAGUAAAUAGAAGUAUGAUGCAAACAAUAUAUAAGUUCUAAAAGACAUCAUCAAUUUGGUACAUAUGCAAAUGAUAUAAACACUAAUUGAUAUAUUACGAAUACACCUGCAGCCAUCAUCAUAAUUAUUAUGUUAAUUAUUUUAAUUAUUCCAUCACAUAUGCAUCUUCUUUUUAACCUUAAAGAAAUAUUAUCAUAUGAUUUAUGAAGAGAAAAGAAUAAUACUCUCUUUUUUUAUAAAAUUUCCCUUUGAAUAAUUAAUAUAAAUGGAGCAACACAAACUUUUCAAAAUGACUUAUUCUAGAUAUAUGGUCAAUUUGAAGAAUGAAUGUUUCCACAAACAAAUAAUAAACUAAUAAGAUCAAUAGAUUAUACAAUAUAAACGAAAAGUCAAAUAAAAAAACAUUUAAAAAAAUCAUAUGUGAUUUUUUUCAUUUAGUUAUUCCUCUCAUUACUAAUAAAUAAUAAUCUCAAAAAUAUAUUUAAACUAAAGUAAAACACUCUAUAGAUAGUCGCAAAUAAAAAUUAACUGAUUAAUCUUUCAUUAUGAAUUUCAUCAAUGAUUAAGAAAUAUAGGAGAACAUGAAUUGUAUAUAACUAAUUUUCAUAUAGGACACAAGAUAUUCCACUAGAAAACAAAAUUAUAAGAAAGUAUAUCGAUCAAAAUAUUAAAAAAGGAUGUACAAAAUACUUAAGCUUGACAAGAAUGAGUGGAUAAAAACAAAAGGAAAUUAUUGCAAUACAAUAUAAUGAGCAAGAUUAAUUUUUUUGCUUGAUAAUCUCUCAUCCUCCUCUUAUCACUUACAUAAAGACCAUGCUAGGUAUUUUAUAGCUGUAGGUACGAUGACUUUUGAGUAGAUAAAAUUAAUUUCAUUAAAUUAGUUCGAUGAUUUUAGUCCAUAUCAAAUUUAUGUAAAGGAAAAACUCUUCAAAUACUCUUGAUUUUUACAACAAAAGAGAAAUUAAUUAUUAAUGUGAAUUUGAUUCAUGCACUGAUUUAAAUAAGUUAUUUAUUAAAUAUUUAAUUAUAUUUUAUAUUAUUUGUUUUAAUUAUUUUAUAUUAUUAUUUGUUUUAAUUAUUUUAAUAUAAGGGUAAAAUGGUAAUUCAACUUUGAGCUUUGAAUCUUCCCACUUAUAAUAAUAUGAUUUACAAGUUAAUCAUAUCAAUAUCAUAUCAUAUAUUAUUAUAAGUGGAAGAUUUUAUCUUCAAAGUUGAAUUAUAGUUUUGUCCUUAUUAUUAACUAGUUCUGGAAAUGUGUCUUGCACGUUUGACCUCUGUUACUGUUACAAUUUAUAUAGACCCAAGAUAUAAAAUUGCUCGACAUUGUCUGACGUACUCCUAUAUGUCUUUUUGUGCAUAUAAAAUAAAUUUUUUUAGUGUUUACUUUUUGCCUAGAACUUAAACAUAAACAUUUUCUUUGGUGAAUGAUGAACAACUUGUAAGGCUAGAACUAAUUCCUAAGGCUGAAAUUUCUUGGAUAUAAAUACUCCAACAAUCAUUAAAAAUAAAAAAAAUUGAAUGAAGGACACAAACCAAUAAGAAAAAUAGUGACUAAUAAAAAAAUAUUACAAGAACAAAUAGAUUAUAUGUUUCUCUAACAACCAUGAAAAUAAAAAAUGAACGAAGGCACAAAUCAAUAAGAAAAAUAGUGACCAAUAAAAAAUACUCCUUACAGAAGAACUAUUAGAUGAUGAAAACAAAGUGUGGUGGAUUAAUAUUUUUAUCCAAUUCAUAAAGGGAGAAAUUAAGUACAUGAAAGGUUUGUGCAUGAAUGUGUUUAAUGGUAGAAGCUACAAAGUUUAAACAAUCAAAUUCAUUAAGAAAUGGAAAAUGAUAAGUUGUAACAUCUAAUCAUAUAUUUGGUCUAGUUUAAUUAUCAUUAUUGAUUUAGUUUUAAAAAUUAGUAAAAGAUUUUUUAAUUUAAAAAAUUGGUGAAGGGCAUUUUCGUAAUCUAACUUUAAACUUAAAAUCUUUACACUUAUAAUAAUAUAUGAUAUGAUUAAAAUAUUUUUAAAACCUAAUUAAUUAAACAUCAAGUAACAAUAUUUUAGUUAUUUUUUAGAUCAUGAGUUAUUUAUUAGCAUGAAAAUUAAAUAAUUAUUAAUUAUAUUGUAUAAUAAAUUAACCAAAACAAAUAGUUACAAAUUAAAUGCAAGUGCAUAUAUGGUGAAGAAUUCAAUUACAAAUUAAUUGCAAAUGAAUGUAUGGUGAAGAAACCAAGAGUUAUUUGUAUGACUUCUUUUUUUCAGCAUGACUUUUGAGUUUCUAUAUGUCAUUAUAUAUUUAGUAACUUUCGAUUUUUCAGGUUGAAGUAAUGUUGAAUGAAAGAAAAUCUACAUAUACACGCAUAUAUUAUGUUCUACUUAUAGAUUCUAUUAUGUAUUUAUUCUUUUAUAUUUGCUCUAUUUUGUUUGCUUUUUAAAUUUAAUUUUUUGUUGUUUGUUUUAUCUUUUUCACCCCAAGUCAUGGAAUACUAUUAUACUCGUCAUAUGAUUAUUUUUAGAGUUGAAAAGUUGGAAAACACUAAUGUUAGUUUUUCUUUUUGAUAGUUACGUAUUUUAAACUAAAGUACUUAAAAACUAAAUAAAUCCUAUAAAAUUGAAUGCUCACAUACAAUUUAAAGACAUAUUUUUACUUUUCGAUCAAAUUCCUUUCUUUGGAUAUUUUUCACCAAAAGUUAGUAAUAAUAAGAAAAUGUAUGACCCCCCCCCCCCCACCCAAAAAAAAAAAAAAUUUGAACAACUUCAACAGUGGACUUUUGGAACACAAAAUCUCUUCCUUUAUUUGAAAUAUAGUAUUUAAUAAUAUUCAUGAAGUUUUAAAAAAAUAAAUACAUUGAUAUGGAGUACCUUCAAAAUUGGAUUACAUUUCAAAAACUAAUUAAUUUAUAAUGACGUAACAAAGCCUAUUCAGAUUCUUGAUGUUAUUGUGUCUUUAUGCUAUUAAACUUUAAUUCAAAUUACACUUGAACGUGUAAUUGCAUGAAUUACCAUAGAUAAUUUUUAUUAUGAGAUGAUAUAUUGUAGUUGAAUUUGUAUUUUAGAGGAUUAAUUCAUUGUUUGAAGUUCUUUGUCUAAUUUAAUGUGGCAUCGCACGAAGCACAUUGAUCUUAAUAGUUUGUCAUGUAACAUUUGACAUUAUCUAUACAUUUUAACUAAUUAUUUCUAUUAAAUUCGAUUAUGAAAGGACUCUGAAGUUUCAGGUAAAAGGUAACCUAUAUCCCUUUCAAAAGUUUAUAUAACUUAUCACACAUUUAAUCUAAUAUUAUUUUAAUAAACUAUCACUCUUAGCCUGAAAUACACGUGCAACGCACAAACUUGAAAAUUAGUCUUUUAAUAAACAUUACUUGAUAAUCUGGAGAAAAAAAAAUGAAUUUCAAUUUUUCGUCAAUUUAUUUAGUGAAAGGCUAAAGCAUAGCUAUAGUGCUGAUAGAUAAAAUCUGGAGAAAUUCCCAAUGGAUAAUGAUAAGAGAUAUGAGUGUAUUGUAAGCUCAACAAAUCAGAGGGUAGAGUUCAAUCCUUGUAGCCACACAUAGGAGGACAAUAUUGGAUGGGUCCCUUUAGUUGUAAACGUCUUGUAAAAUUGGAGAUUGCCAAGAGUGCAUUAAUUGCUACACAUGGGAUCUUGAUAUCCAAUGAGAUCAUAGAUAUAGAUAUCACUAGAUAAUUAAGACUCUUUUUCCCUCUUAAUUACUCCCUAUAUAUAUGGUGAAUUAGUUCCUUUGUAACUUCAUCUCAUCAAAACCAACUUCAACAGUAUCAUCAAACACUUACAUUUCUCUUGAUAUAAACACAAUGGCAGCUGCAACAAUGGCUCUUUCUUCCCCUUCUUUUGCUGGACAGGCGGUGAAACUCUCACCCUCUGCCUCAGAAAUCUCUGGAAAUGGAAGGAUCACUAUGAGAAAGGCUGUCGCCAAGUCAGCCCCAUCUAGCAGCCCAUGGUAUGGCCCUGACCGUGUUAAGUACUUGGGACCAUUCUCUGGUGAGUCACCAAGCUACUUGACCGGUGAAUUCCCUGGUGACUACGGCUGGGAUACCGCUGGACUUUCAGCAGACCCAGAAACCUUUGCCAAGAACCGCGAACUUGAGGUGAUCCACUGCAGAUGGGCUAUGCUUGGUGCUCUUGGCUGUGUCUUCCCUGAGCUAUUGGCUCGUAACGGCGUCAAGUUCGGUGAGGCUGUGUGGUUCAAAGCUGGAUCCCAAAUCUUCAGUGAGGGUGGACUUGACUACUUGGGCAACCCAAGCUUGGUCCAUGCACAAAGCAUCUUGGCCAUCUGGGCUUGCCAAGUUGUACUCAUGGGAGCCGUUGAAGGUUACCGUAUUGCUGGUGGCCCUCUUGGUGAGGUUGUCGACCCACUCUACCCUGGUGGCAGCUUCGACCCACUGGGUCUUGCUGAAGACCCAGAGGCAUUUGCUGAGCUCAAGGUAAAGGAGAUCAAGAACGGUAGACUUGCCAUGUUCUCUAUGUUCGGAUUCUUCGUUCAAGCUAUUGUUACCGGAAAGGGUCCAUUGGAGAACCUUGCUGACCACCUUGCAGACCCCGUUAACAACAACGCUUGGGCUUUUGCCACAAACUUUGUCCCCGGAAAAUGAAACUUUUUAAACAAUCUUAAUAUUCCUUGUAAAGUAGUAGUGAGUUACUUGACAAUAGAAUGGAUUGUUUUUCUUUAAUAUUUCAAUGUUUGUGUAGUACUGAGUAACAUCUUACUAAGCUAUGAAUCAAAUGUUGCCACUUUCAUAACAAAGGAUAAUCAAAGAAAGAGAACAGAGCAAAAAAGACAGAAGAUACAUAUAUAUGAGAUAUGGUAACUAGAAAAACUCUAAAGCUGUGACAGGCUUACAACAUCGAAUUUUCAGACCAGAAGAACUUAGGGAAUUCAAUCAACUCUCAAGAAGCAAUACUCAAAAUUAGAGCAAAGUAUUAAUUUUGAAAAAUAAGAUGUUAUUACAUCAUUCAUUAAUUUUGUCGAGAGGUUAAAGAGGAAAUAGAGGACGUUAUAUCAUUUCACGACUAGAACAUUAACAGUUCAAUAAUAAGGGAAGAAAGCCAAUAUGUUUUUUAGUCUGAAAUGUAGUUAUUAGAAACAUAUAAGUUUCCAGGUCCUUAUAUUAUGUGCCUUUAAUUUGGAUAGC
rnacentral:lncRNA from 1 species